rnacentral:misc_RNA from 1 species
AGAGAGAGAGAGAGAGAGAGAGAGAUGCAUCUAUGGCCUUCUAUGAGAAUAAGGGACUCUUUCAAGAUAGCAUAUCUGAAAAAGCUGGAGUGGAAUCUCCACAGAAUGAGCAGAGAGAAGCAGCGGUCUCAGCAAAGCGGUAGCAAUCAGGAGAAGCUCUUGGAUGAUCAAGAAAACGGUAUAGUUGAUGGGAGAGUUGCCGAAGAAACAACAAGUUCAAAGAAUUCUUUCUUAGCAAAAUCUGCUUUAAUUUGCAGAGAAAUCCUCCUGGUCCUUACUUGCUGCUACUGUUGUUUCGGUUGUGGAGCUUGUGUUGAUCAAGACAAGCUCCACAAC